rnacentral:rRNA from 1 species
ACGGAGCGACGCCGCGUGUGUGAUGAAGGCGGAAACGUUGUAAAGCACUUUUCCCUGGGGAAGAAUAAGGUGAGGAGGUAAUGCCUCAUCGAUUGACACAAACUAGGGAAAUAAGCCCCGGCUAAUUACGUGCCAGCAGCCGCGGUAACACGUAAAGGGGCGAGCGUUGUUCGGAAUUAUUGGGCGUAAAGGGCGUGUAGGCGGCCUGGUAAGUCUGGUUGUGAAAGACCGCAGCUUAACUGCGGGACCGCGCUGGAAACUAUUAGGCUAGAGUCUAAGAGGGGGAACUAGAAUUCCAGGUGUAGGGGUGAAAAUCUGUAGAUAUUCUGGAAGAAUACCGGACGCGAAAGCGAGUUCCCUGGCUAUAGAACUGACGCUGAGGCGCGAAAGCGUGGGGAGCGAACAGGAUUAGAUACCCUGGUAGUCCACGCCGUAAACGUUGUGCACUAGGUGUUGGCCUUGAGGGGUCAGUACCCGUAACAAACGCAAUAAGUGCACCGGCUGGGGAGUAUGCUCGCAAGGGUGAAACUCAAAGGAAUUGACCGGGGGCCCGCACAAGCGGUGGAGCAUGUGGUUUAAUUCGAUGAUACGCGA